GAUAUCAGGAGGAACACCGAUGGCGAAGGCAGGUCUCUGGGCAUUAACUGACGCUGAGGAGCGAAAGCAUGGGGAGCGAACAGGAUUAGAUACCCUGGUAGUCCAUGCCGUAAACGUUGGGCACUAGGUGUGGGGGACAUUCCACGUUUUCCGCGCCGUAGCUAACGCAUUAAGUGCCCCGCCUGGGGAGUACGGCCGCAAGGCUAAAACUCAAAGGAAUUGACGGGGGCCCGCACAAGCGGCGGAGCAUGCGGAUUAAUUCGAUGCAACGCGAAGAACCUUACCAAGGCUUGACAUGGGCCGGAUCGCCGCAGAAAUGUGGUUUCCCCUUUGGGGCCGGUUCACAGGUGGUGCAUGGUUGUCGUCAGCUCGUGUCGUGAGAUGUUGGGUUAAGUCCCGCAACGAGCGCAACCCUCGUUCUAUGUUGCCAGCGCGUUAUGGCGGGGACUCAUAGGAGACUGCCGGGGUCAACUCGGAGGAAGGUGGGGACGACGUCAAAUCAUCAUGCCCCUUAUGUCUUGGGCUUCACGCAUGCUACAAUGGCCGGUACAAAGGGUUGCGAUACUGUGAGGUGGAGCUAAUCCCAAAAAGCCGGUCUCAGUUCGGAUUGGGGUCUGCAACUCGACCCCAUGAAGUCGGAGUCGCUAGUAAUCGCAGAUCAGCAACGCUGCGGUGAAUACGUUCCCGGGCCUUGUACACACCGCCCGUCAAGUCACGAAAGUUGGUAACACCCGAAGCCGGUGGCCUAACCCCUUGUGGGAGGGAGCUGUCGAAGGUGGGACUGGCGAUUGGGACUAAGU
rnacentral:rRNA from 1 species